rnacentral:rRNA from 1 species
AGAACGAACGCUGGCGGCAUGCCUAAUACAUGCAAGUCGAACGAAGGCUUCGGCCUUAGUGGCGCACGGGUGCGUAACGCGUGGGAAUCUGCCCCUUGGUUCGGAAUAACAGUUGGAAACGACUGCUAAUACCGGAUGAUGACGAAAGUCCAAAGAUUUAUCGCCAAGGGAUGAGCCCGCGUAGGAUUAGCUAGUUGGUGAGGUAAAGGCUCACCAAGGCGACGAUCCUUAGCUGGUCUGAGAGGAUGAUCAGCCACACUGGGACUGAGACACGGCCCAGACUCCUACGGGAGCAGCAGUAGGGAAUAUUGGACAAGUGGGACGAAAGCCUGAUCAGCAAUGCGCGUGAGUGAUGA